AAUGAACGCUGGCGGUAUGCCUAACACAUGCAAGUCGAACGACAGCACAGUAAGAGCUUGCUCUUACGGGUGGCGAGUGGCGGACAGGUGGGGCAUACAUCGGAAUCUACUUUUUCGUAGGGCUUCACGUAGGGAAACUUACGCUAAUACCCCAUACGUCCUCCGGGUGAAAUCAGGGCAUCUUCGGACCUUGCGCUAUUGAAUGAACCGAUGUCGGAUUAGCUAGUUGGCGGGGUAAAGGCCCACCAAGUCGACGAUCCGUAGCUGGUCUGAGAGGAUGAUCACCCACACUGGAACUGAGACACGGCCCAGACUCCUACGGGAGGAAGCAGUGGGGAAUAUUGGACAAUGGGCGCGAGCCUGAUCCAGCCAUACCGCGUGGGUGAAGAAGGCCUUCGGGUUGUAAAGCCCUUUUGUUGGGAAAGAAAAGCAGCAGGUUAAUACCCCGCUGUUCUGACGGUACCCAAAGAAUAAGCACCGGCUAACUUCGUG
rnacentral:rRNA from 1 species